rnacentral:lncRNA from 1 species
UUCAAAAACACCAAACCUCAAAAUGAUUAUGAUUUUUGCUUAUUAGCUUAAUUCAUCCUCCUGAUUAGCUCGUUGAUGAAGUUUUCACGGUUUCCAGCAUCUCCACCUUCAACAUAAUGGUUCCUCUUCUUCUUCAUUCCACCCAAUGGUGCUUUCAGCUUAAAUGGCCACAAGAAGUUGUUUGCUUCUUUAAAAUGUGGUCCAGCAGUCAAGAUUUCAUGAAUAAGAUCUUCAACACAGAUGAUUCCAAAUUUUCCAAGACCCUGUUCAUUCAAUUCAUAAAUCCAAAUCAGCAUAUGUAUCUUUCAAAUUUCAAAAUUAUUCAUCAAAUAAAUACAAACAAACCUGUUCAACAAUGGAGUUGUCUGUUAAUGGGAUCCUUUGCUUGUUAAGCUUUCCAUAUCCUCUCUUGUAGAUCAACUCCUUCACACUCUUCAAGUUCGGGUACCUGAGAAAAAGGAUAGUUUUUAUUUAAUAAAGAGAAAAAAAACCAAAACAUAAAGAAUUUAAAAUUGAACUCGUUUAUUACCCAUAGGUGACAUAUGGUUCAACUCUGUGGAGCAUGUUCAAUGUGGCUUUGUUGACUUUCAAAAACACACCA